rnacentral:rRNA from 1 species
UACAGAGGUCUCGAGCGUUAGGCGGAAUCACUGGGCUUAAAGCGUGUGUAGGCGGAUCGUUAAGUACCUUGUGAAAUCCCACGGCUCAACCGUGGAACGGCUGGGUAUACUGGCGGUCUUGGGCCAUUCAGGGGCGACUGGAACAAGCGGUGGAGCGGUGAAAUGCGUAGAUAUCAGGAGGAACACCAGCGGCGAAGGCGGUGCUCUGGGCCGGUACUGACACUGAGGAGCGAAAGCGUGGGUAGCAAACAGG